CAACACGACACGAAACGAUCCGAGACACCAAGCUGCGAAUACGGUUACAGUCCGUGGAACAGGCCGAGCGAUACACAUUGUCUCAAAUCUCUCCAAAACCCACAUUUAGGUGCACUAUACAGAGGGUCUCCUGGAGUCUAUCCACAAGGAGGUGGGGAGAACAAACAGAGGAACCUGGAGCAACAAAACUGUUGGGUUGUGUAAGAAUUUAAAGAAUGCUUCAAACCAGAUUAGACUUCAAGCUGUCAGGAUGAUCAGAGGUGCUUUCAGGAGCACCAGCAUGGACCUUUGAUGGAGCAUCUGAAGCUGAAGCUAGACACCAGACCGAUGGUGAACAUGAUACAACAGGUGGAAAGAUACAUGGAGGACAACAUGCUAUGGCGCCAUAUGAAAAUAGUAAACCAUUGUUGAAUAAUCGUACCGUGUCCACUCCAGCCAAGAGCAUUUCAGUCAUGUUGGCGUAGAUCUCCUCCAGAUUCAUCUCC